GUGGUGGUGUGUGUUUUUGUUUUUUUUUUAAAUUUUAUUUUAUUUUUUGCUUGGCUGCAAUGGACGACAGCGAUGGGGUGAAGCUCUUUGUUGGGAAUCUGGCAGUGGAAACAACACAAGAUGACCUAAUAGCACUUUUUGCCCCUUAUGGAAAGCUGGAGACCAUUACUUUACUGAGGCAGUUUGCCUUUGUCCAUCUGCAGGGAGAAGGGGCUGCUGACUGUGCCAUCCGUAGUCUGAAUGGUAUAGAGUUUCGUGGUCGCAGCCUUGUUGUUGAAGAGUCUCGAGGAAGGCCUCAGAACUCUAUCAAAGUAUAUGUGGGGAACCUGAGUGCUCUGUGCACUACUGCUGAACUGCAUGAACUGUUCUCUCGUUUCGGCAACGUCUUGGAGUGUGAAAAAGUGAAAACCAAACCCAACUCCUCAGUAGGUUAUACUUUUGUACACAUGGAGCAUCAAGAGAAUGCAGAGAACGCUAUUGAGGCCCUCCACGGGACCUCCUACAUGGGCCGUCCACUCUCUGUGGAACUCUCAAAGGUCCAGCAAACCAAGCCAGCAGGCGUUCCCAAAGUGCCAUGUGCACGUUGUGGGACACAGGGACACUUCGCAGGUGAGUGUCCCACUAGGCCGCCCAUGGAGCACCACCAGAGUCAGGCAGCUGUGCUCGCUGCUGCGGCCGCCGCUGCUGCUGGACUUCCUAUUCAAGUACAACAGAGCGUGCACAACUCUUUCUUCAACACCAACACCUCUGAUCCGACAUAUGCAGCCCUAAAGGGUCUGACCGAAGCCAGCGGGUCAGGUGGUAAACCAGUGAGCGCUGCAGUUUACGGUGCCCUGGCAAGUCAAGUGUACGGUGUUGUGGCUGAUCAGGUCCUCGGCCAGGAAACAGAUGAUUCAGGCUACCCAGCUGCAGGAGAGGCACCAUCAGGCACCACAGCCAUGAACCCUGCUUAUGGAACAAACUCCUCUGCAUAUGCAGGCCCUGCCUAUGGGACCAUGGGUGGUGCGGAGACUGACCCACAAGCCUUAUUUGAAGCCGCUCGGCAGCGAUUCAUCGAGCAGGGCCAGCAAGUGUUGGCUGAGCAGCAGGCCAUUACCAAAUCAGACCGGGACCGGAGCCCAGUGAGACGUUCUGCUCUGUUGCCUGACCCUGUUCCUCAGCCCAUUAGUGCGGCGAGACCCAAACGCCGUGCUCUACUGCCCACACCACCUGGAGGCCCCGAGAUGCCUGCUAUUAAAGAUGGAGACCCUAUUGCAAGGUGCUAUGCAGAGUAUGUCCAGCAGUACCAACAAUACCAACAGUACCAGCAAUACCAACAGUAUCAACAGUACCAGUACUACUAUCCACCACCGCCGCCACCACCGCCGCCUCAGAUGCCCACCAUGCCCAUGCCGCCUUCAGGGCCGAUGGAUGCCAAUCACAUGGCGGCUCCUGGAACCGGCACAUCUCCAAGAGCGUAUGAGCCACCUCCACCACACAAGGAUCCCCACCUCCGCAGUCCUGACUACUCCCACCACCACAUGCCAGAGCCCACAUACCGAUAGAGCUCACCACCUUGUGUGUGUGUGUGCACGCCUGUGUGCUUGAUGGUGCUGAAUGUAUGGUAGUAUCGGUCCUUCUUUAUAAGUGAUGAGGAAAGGGAUACGUUAAAUCUUUCAAUUGGCUUUAUGCACCAAACUUGCGUUAUUGUAUCUUAUGAGUCUGUUAAUUAGACGUCUGGUUAUUGUGAUAAGUUGAAACACAAAACAAAAUUUGUCGUGUCUAAUCUGACACCAGGAGCCUUGUGAAUUUCUCGUAAACGGCAGAUAAUACAGUUUUGACUGAUUGGUGGAGGAUUGGGUAAUUAUUUAGAGAUGCCUUUCCAAGAUCUAUGUGCUGUAGUUGUAUAUAACAAUUUAAAAAAUAAUAAUAAAAAAAAUUGAUAAUCAUUGGAUGAAAGCAGUAGUGGGAAUUUGAAAUACAAAGAGGACCUGUGUGGCUGAUGGCUGUGUGCGUGUGUCUGUGUGAAUGUCAGAUUGAGAGAGAAAACAUUUUCACUUGUAAAAGAGCCACACAUUAACACAUCAGAUCACCGUCUGUUCCAUAUGGGUGGGAUUUGGCUUUGGGCAGAGACAUGCUCCAUCAGUAUCCGCUAAAUAACACAAUAGAACUUGCUGUGUUUCAGCCCAUUAGGCACCGCCUGAGGGCACAAUAGGGCAUAACCUGCUCUCAGCACCAAGCUCAACUCCGAUUAUAAAAUUCACCUGUUGGAAUGAGGCUAGGCUACAAAACGGAUGGCUAGUGUUUGUUAGUCUAUCUAGCGUUCAUCAGCCAGAAAACACCCCAGACUUUUGACUAGUGUAUACUCAUGCUUAGUUGUUUUCCUGUUAUUUCCAUAUCUUUAUUGACUCUGGGUUGGACAUGCCAUUUGUAUAGUCUGCAGAUUGUGCUGCAGGACUAUAAAGGAAUCGACUGCCAUUCCUAGCUUUGUAUCCUCCUCUAACAUGGACAAAAUAAUGUGUUCAGGCGACUAGUGAUGGUUAAUUUCUCAUGACUUUUUUUUUCUUUCUUUCUUUCUUUCUUCUUCUUCUCCUCUUGGUCCAAGACAGUAAAGUUUCCCCCCUCCAGCCGCUUGUGAUUUAUUUUUUUAUUUCCUCUAAAUCUUUUGAGUCCCCACUUUUCUCAUGACAGUACAUUUUAGACUGAUUUGGCAGUGCUCAUUUAGUUGGUUUGAUUUUGAGGUUGUAAGGUCUAUUGCAAUAGGCCUCCAGUUGGUUUGAGUUUGAGAAUAAAAUGCAGUGAAUAUAAAUAUGUGAUGUAUUUUUGUUCAAAAGGAAAUGUGCUAAACCAGUGGAUAAAGGAUUGAGGCAGUUUGAAUUAAACUCACUGAAUUUAAAGUUCAAUUGGCUCUUCUUCUUUCAAACCAGGUUCUCGAAAAAUAUUUUGUUCAAGAGGUUUUGAUUCAAACCUGCCUAUUUAACUUGGAGACUAGAGGAAGGAGUCUACAUGAGGUUUUCAUAACAUCUGACAUGUAAUGUUUUAAUAAAUUUUAAAUAAAUUUUUCUUUACAGAUCUGCAUAAAUUGCAAGCAAGAGCUCAUUUGUUGUUUAUUGUAGGGGUUUGGCUUCAGAUGUUAUGGAGAAUGUUGUAGCAUUCCUUCAGUGUGCUUUACAAACCUCAGUAAAAUGAUUGUAAUGAAAAAAAAGUCAGAGAAAGCUCUCUUUUUUUAAUGAUCUUAUGUCCUCUUUCCUUUAGAAUGCACCUCAGACUGUCUUCAGUCUUUCAUUCCAACGCUGAGAGAUGGUGGGGUACUCGCACAAACACAAACAUACACAUACACAACAUGGUCUCACUGGCCUGGAUACAGCAAACCUUUUGUAAAGUAAUAGGCAACAGAUUGAAAAGACCUGCAAGAAUUUGAUUAAGGAAUUACCAUUUGUAUUUUUUCAGUGUAUUAUGUUAGGGGGCUGCUUUUGCUGUGUGUAAUUAACACAUUUCUGAAAGACACCUGAUAGAAAACUUGCAGUGCCUCCUAAGCGUAUCCAGGCCCUGAUGUUCACAAGACGAAAAAAAAAAAGAAAAAAAGCAGAUAUUGUAUUGGAGUGGUCAUUGUUUUCAGUCACAACAUUUAGUGGAAUGGUGAUGGAAGGGUAGCUCUUUAUAAGUGCAUCAGGCCUCCUUACAUUAACGCUAAAUGUCUGUAAAUUUUUGCUAGAAAUAGUGCAUGACUGGUUACUCGUACUGUUCUUCCAGCCACAUUUUCCCUUUUCGCUAACUACAGCUAAAAUGGCUCCCGGGCCUCAGGAUGCCAAGUUGCACAUGACGGGGGAAGAGAAUUAGAGUUCCACAGUGGCAUGGAUGCGCUCCCCAGAAAGGUAAAGCCCUCUGGCCCCAAUCACGCUUGCACCUUGACCAUACACCACUUCCCCUAAAUCAUCUCCUGUUCCAACUCAGCUCAGAUGCAUCUUCUGGCUGAAGAACUUGAACAAAAAAAAACAAAAAAACAAUGAUGGGGCUGUAAGAGUGCCACAGCUUAGGGUUAAAUAAAAUGACAGUUUUUACAAACAGAGAAGCAAAGUCCUUUAGCUCAGGCACACAAAGUACCCCACGUGAUCUUGGUUUGGGUGUUUGCAAUUGGUUAAAGCCCCAGUGGCACAUCCAAUCAGAAGUCACCGUUACCAUUGUGUUCUUUUUGAGGACCGAAAUUGAGUGUCUUACAAGAAACCUGCUCACAAAAAAUCCUUCAUAAAGAGCAUGAACAUGUGGGAUCAGGGGAAACUGAAUUGUUGGCUUGUUCUGUGGCAUUUGGUGUUUCUUUUAAGCAUUUUCAGUAAGACGAGACGAGAUGUGCGCACACGCUUACAACUGAGGUUCCCUGGCUGUGCUUUGAACUGUUAUGAAGACAGCACAGCUUUAAGGGGCGCAGUGCAAACCAAAAGGCAAGAGGUGGGGCUGUCGCCUGGUAGGAGGGCAAUGGAGGUGUGAAGUGCAGAGUAUAAACAGAGCUGUGUGAGAUCAUGGAGCAGUGCAGUGAUCUGAGGUUAUACUGUGGACAUUGAUUCUGCUGGAAGGAAGACAAGGACACUGAAACAAACUUUAGAGUGAGUAGGAAACCGAACACACUUAUGGACAACAGUAACACAUGGUGAACGCAUGACCUGACAGACACCCCGUCAGAAUAUCCCAUCAAUACAAAAUUGACUUUAUUUAAAUGAAUGCGACAGACAUGAAAGUUAAACCAUUAAAAAGAGAAUAGCUGCUUAAAAAGAGCAAUAAACUUGCAUAGUGUAAAACAUUGACUGGUGUCCUUUAAAAAACAAACAAAUGCAGUUGUCAUUAAAAUGUUAUAUUACAAUUUUAAAAUUUAUGUAAUAAAAAAAGAAACCCCACCAAUGGAGCACUUGCAUGUGACGUCACAGCCGAUCCAGAUUGUGACAGACGCCAUCUUGUCGGUCAAACGCCAUAUUUCCGCCUUCUACUUCUACCUUUUCUUCUGGAAAACCCUACUAUAUACAAUUCUACUACAACGGCUGCGGCUACAAACUCUCCCUACCUGUGCACGUUUUUUGUGUGCAUUUUUGCGUGUUGUUCGUCUGUACCGGACUUCAAUAUCCACUACAACCGUAUGGACUUACUGGACGUUGGUUUCCAGCAGAAAAUGACGGUUUGUAGCGAUUUUCAUCGCAUGCACAACAUUCCGGACGAGAAAAAACAAAAAACAUUCCGGACGAGAUAGCGAGACCAGCGGGGUCUCCGUGGAUUGUUAUCGGAAGCAAAGCGAAGGAGGCGGCGCCGGGAGCGGAAGCGAAAGCGAGGCUGCAGAGCCGGCCUGUUGACUAAGCUCAGAAAACAGCCACUCAAACCUCCACUGCUAAGCCUCUACCUCUCCAACACCAGAUCCAUGUAAACAAAACGGACGAUUUGGAAUUACAGCUGGAAUUACCUUAUUCUAUUCUAUAAUCGGCUGGUCAGUGCAGUACUAGUAAUACUUAAGUGACUUACCCAUCCAGUAAGGAUUAUUUUCUUGUUUACAAGAUGCCACAUCUGAGUCGCUGACAAAUCCUGAAUUUCUGUAAAGAUAACUGUGCAGAGAUUUAUAAGCACGCAGUGCUUCACCACUGAACAGCGAGGGAAAGUUGAUGAGGUAAUUAUACACGUCCAGGUAUUCCGCUGGCAGUUCAAAAUCCACUGACACGGUCGUGAAAACUCCGUCCGGAAAGCCAUAAGGGUCACUAAUCUGUAGAUCGUUUAUUUUAGACAUAUAUCUAGUUAUCUGUUCAUUAGAAAAAUGAGCCGUGUAGUCCGUCGGUUGAAAUUGAUCCAUUCUGUACACAAGUGCAGCAGUAUUCAGCUGUGUUGUUGCCCGACAAGAUGGCGUCUGUGUACUUUCCGGUCACGUGACUGCAAGAUCUGUAUAUUCUUCCUUUUGGACACCAUUUAAUCGUUACACUACCAUAUCUGAAUAUUCUUGACCAAUAACCUCAUGAACGCACCUGAGUGAAGUACAUUUGGAGAAAUUAUGGUCCUUAGGUGCCAUAAAGUGCUAGCUGUCCACAAUGACUAAAAUAUUACAGUAUUAACAAACAGACAUAUUAUCAUCAAAAUUUGUCCUGAGUCAAACCAUAGCAACAUUUUACAUUUGUGUAAUGCAAAAAUAGAAUAGCGGCCCGAACAGCAUGACCAAUGAGUGCUCACUGAAAACUACAGCAGUUCUAUCAAGGCAAAUGAGAGUACGCCUCCCAGUGACAGUCCCAAAGCCAGGAAAAAGGUCAUCAAAGCCCCAGCAGUCUCUGCAUCUUUAGACCUCACCAACCUAGUGAGCAAAAAAAUGCAUGAGGAUGUGUGUACACUACUAGUAGUCGAAGUAAAACACAAUCUAUACAAGAUGCACUGCGUGGCCAAAAGUUUGUGGACACCAUGCCAUCACAUUCCACUUUUCAUACUCCAUUUUCUGUUGUUAUAACCUCCGUUCUUCUGGGAAGGCUUUCCACUAGAUUUUGGAAUGUGGCUGUGGAAAUUUCGACAAGAGUAUUAGCGAGGUCAUACACUGAUGUUGCAUGAGGAGGCCUGGUGCCAAGUCGGCGUUCCAGUUCAUCCCAAAGGUGUUCACUGGGUUUGAGGUUAGGGCUCUGUGCCAGGACACUUGAGUUCUUCUACACCAACCAUGGUGAACCAUGUCUUCAUGGAGCUUGCUUUGUGCGCACUGUCAUGCUGGAAUAGGUUUGAGCCUCUUAGUUUCAGUGAAGGGAAAUUGUAAAGCUACAGCAUGUAAAGACGUGCUUUGAGGUAAACAGUAUGGUGAAGAAUCACAUAUGAACAUGAUGAUCAGGUGUCCACAAACUUUUGGCCAUAUAUUGUAAAUUAUAAUAUUUUUAAUUUUAACCAAGAGUAACAAAGUUCUUUUGAAUUAUCUGUGGAAUGCAUGGCAGCUUAUUAAAUUAUGCAUCUUAACAGAAAUGAUGCUUUAAUAGAGUACUACUGUAUGGUUGUGUGUAGUAUUACUUACUGUGGAGCAUAGGAUAUGCAGAGACAGCCAAAAUAUCCAUUUGUCAAGGCAAACAAUGACAUGAUGACUAUGUAGGCAAACUCGUGUUUGAAAACACUUGGUAGAUAGGUGCGAGAUGGAAUGUUGCAUAACAUGAAUGCAGGAAUGAAGAUCAUACGAGCUGCCACGAGGAUCGGGAACAGGCGGCUCUGCUUUCUGGGCUAUGAUGACAAAUAGCAAGUAUUAAUUUCCAACAGGAGCGUUACGUUACAUUAUAGACAUUUAGCAGACACAUCCAGAGUGGUGCACAACAAGUUGGGGGUUAAGUGCCUUGCUCAAGGGCACUUCAACCAUUCCUGCUGGACCAGGGAAUCGAACCAGCGACCUUUUGGUCCAAAGCUGCUUCUCUCACCUGUAGGCCAUGGCUUCCCAAAGCUGUUCAAAUUCAUGAUUGAAUGUGCACAAACUAACUUUAUACCACAGGGUUGUAAACCUGACUGGAAUAACAGCAGCCGUGAUAGUAGUUCAGACUGUAAUUCAAAUCUCUAUUCUAUUCUAUUCUAUUGUCAUUAUAUCAGUACAGCAGGUUAUCAGGCUUCUCUCAUGCCAAACAGUAUGGAAAGACCGUAAACUGUGAAUACAAGAUGUAUGCAGUUACAACUGUUAUUCAUUAUCUUUAAGAUAUCCAUUUAUUAUUUCCCUAUAAUAAUACGCCCUGUCAAAAAGACUGUCCAGUCCAUUACUGUGUUGUUUUAUCCUGCCAUCAAAUACAUCGACACUGAGCGGUGUCUCACAAAGGAUUCCUCUCACUUCUCCGAUGUGGAAGAAGGUUACAGAUGGGCGGCACGGUGGUGUAGUGGUUAUCACUGUCGCCUCACAGCAAGAAGGUUCUGGGUUUGAACCUCGCAGCCAACAGGGGCCUUUCUGUGUGGAGUUUGCAUGUUGUCUGCAUUUCCUCCGGGUGCUCCGGUUUCCCCCACAGUUCAAAGACAUGCAGAUUCAGUACAAUGGGGCCACUGUAAUUGGCGCAAGCUUUAGUGGUUUCCCAGCCAUAAUGAAAUGUGGACGGAUGACGGACAGAUAACACAUGAAUGGUAUAAGCUCAUCGCCUAUCGGCCAGAGGAGCUAACAAGUCUCCGAUUUAUGAACAGUUACUUCCUACAAGCCAUCUGUCCAGUCCAUUACUGUGUUAUUUUAUCCUGCCAUCAAAUACAUCGACACUGAGCGGUGUCUCACAAAGGAUUCCUCUCAUUUCUCCGAUGUGGAAGAAGGUUACAGAUGGGUGGCACUGUCGCCUCACAGUAAGAAGGUUCUGGGUUUGAACCUCGCAGCCAACAGGGGCCUUUCUGUGUGGAGUUUGCAUGUUGUCUGCGUUUCCUCCGGGUGCUCCGGUUUCCCCCACAGUUCAAAGACAUGCAGAUUCAGUACAAUGGGGCCACUGUAAUUGGCGCAAGCUGAAGUGGUUUCCCAAAUCAAAUCAGAACGAGACCAUCGGAGACGGCGUAACUCACUUCGACCCCAUCUAGUCCAGAAGGAGCGAUCUACUGUAAAGUGGGCUACCCUGUGCAAGCUAUAUACACCCUAGGAAUACCGACCUGUUUGCCAGAAAGAAUCCAAAACGGGGAGGAAGUGACCGAGAAGAAGCGAUUUUUGUUGAACUGCUCAUUAAGGCUUAAUUAGUCCGUAACUUCAUUAAUAAUUGUAAUUAAGCGAAUCUGGGUAGACGCUAUAUGCAUCCGAGGCAGACCUACCUUCCUGCCAAAAAGAAUUAAAAUCAGUGAAGAACUGAGAGAGAAGAAGCAGUUUUCGUGAAAUGUGGACGGAUGACAGACGGAUAACACAUGAAUGGCACAAGCUCAUUGCCUGUCGGCCAGAUGAGCUAACAAGUCUCUGAUUUAUGAACAGUUACUUCCUACAAGCCAGUAGACUCCUAAACAGUUCUGCCUUAAUGGCAAUACCACUACACAUCACUUCACUCUGCUACCCUACUCAACUCACUGCACUCUGUCAUUUUACAUGAGACGUUAUAUUUAACGAGACACGUUUUCAUACUGAUGCUCAGGACUAUUAAGAGUUUACACUAGUAGCCAUACUACUGUUCAGUCGAGUUUGUUCAUCUUUACACUGUUCUUGUGUUAUUUAUCCUGUUUAGCAUUUUGUGUUAAUUGUAGCACUGAUUCUAAUGGGGCUAUAUUUUGUUUCUAACGUUACAUCUGUAUGUGAUCAAGUGUCUGGUAUUAUAAUAAAACCACUUUGUCUUUUUUGACACCUGUACCACCUAGUAUAAAUCAGGAUUCUCCUUGUUUGGUUCCUCCUAUUGGUGUUCCUGUUGAAUCUUGUUGUAGUUCUGACAAAGGCUCAAUUGGGUAAUAAAAGGUUUUUAAGGUUUAUGGGGGCAGCCUUGGGCCCAAAGGGUCAUUGGCUUGAUUCCUGGGAUCGGCAGGAAAAAUGUGAGGGGAGUUGAGUGAAUGAAUGGCACUUUCCGCUUCCUCUGAAUCAUGGCUGAAGUGCCCUUGAGCAACGUACCUAACCCCUAACUGCUCCCCAGGCGCUGUAGCAUAGCUGUCCACUGCUCUGAGUAUGUGUGUGUGUGCGCUCAUUGCUCACUUGGGUGUGCAUGCGUGUGUUCACUGUGUCAGGUUAAAUGCAGAGGAGGAAUCUCUUAAAAGGACUAUAGACAGGGGUACACAUACAGUAACUGGUGCGCAUGCGUGCUGAAAAAUAAACGAUGCGCAGCAGAAAACACUAAGGCAGGGCUUUUCAAAGUGUGGGGCGCGCCUCCCCUAGGGGGCGCCAGAUUUCUUCAGGGGAGGCGCAACGUCAGGAAAAAUAAACUGGAAUAAGUUACUAUUGCGGACAUUUAGCGAACUUCAGCUAGCCUUUGCCAGAGACAAAAUGGAUCGAUUUUUAGUACCUAAAGCUACAGUGAGUGAGGAGACAGAGCCUGGGCCAAGCAAAAAAAGAAUGAAGUAUGACCACGAUUAUUUAAAGUUUGGAUUUUCAUGGACUGGAUCUGAAGAUGCUCCACUGCCACAGUGUGUUGUCUGCCAAGAGGUGCUAGCUAACGGUGCUAUGAGAUGUUUAAAAUGUGUAAAACCAGAUGUUUUUUAAAAAAAAGCACAGAUGUUUAAAAUGUGUAAAAAAAAAAAAAAAGUUUUAAAAAAGCACAUGUUUAAAGUGUGUAAAAAAGAUGUUUUAAAAAAGCAUAGAUGUUUAAAAUGUGUAAAAAAAAACCACGUUUUAAAAAAGCACGUUGAAAAUGUGUAAAAUGUUUUUAAAAAGCACAGAUGUUUAAAAUGUGUAAAGAGGUUUUAAAAAGCACAUUUAAAAUGUGUAAAAGAUGUUUUAAAAAGCAGAUGUUUAAAAUGUGUAAAAAAAAAGGUUUUAAAAAAGCACAGAUGUUUAAAAUGUGUAAAAAAAAAUGUUUUAAUAAAGCUCAUAUGUUUUAAAUGUGUAAAAAGAUUUUUCAAAAGGCACAGAUGUUUAAAAUGUGCAAAAGAAAAAAAUAAAAAUGUGUACAACCAUUUUUUUAAAAUACGAAUGGAACAUUAAGUAUAGCAACAACAAAAAUUGUAAGGGGGGGCGCUGUUGUUUAUUUGCUCUCUGAGUGGGGCUGACUCUCCCACACUUUGAAAACCCCUGCACUAAGGGAAGCGUGUAGUAUAACUUCUACUCCAGCAAAAGCACUUCCUUCGUGUUUACGUGUUACGUGCACCCCUGGCUAUAAGAGAUAAAAUUCAGUUGAAAUGAACAGCAGGAAUUUCCUACCAGUCAGUAGAACUGAUGAAAGCUCUGACAUGAGCGUGAAUAUUGAAAUAUAAUAUUACAUGAAAUGUAUGCUGAAGCUUUACCCAUUCAAAAACGGAGGUGAUACUUCGACCAAUCCAGUCCAUUACAUUGAAGACAAUGAAACAACAGACAGGCGUGAAUAUUUCAGCUGAGAGAGAGAGAGAGAGACAUUGAAUUCAUGCUUUAUUCUGGUUUCUUCUUUGGCAAUUGGAAAAGAGUGUAUUGAAAUGGAGACCUACCCCAUAUUCCUGUAAACAGGUGAUUUGGCUGCACCAGCACAGUGAUUGCCGGAAAAACAGAUAACGUGACGCCGAAAACACACGUCACGCACAAAGCCAUCAUCCAAAUCUAAAAAAUAAAUGCAAAUUAAAUUGAUGACUAAGAACAUUACCCAUACGGCAUGUUAUAAAUACAAAAUGUGUGGUAGCCUGGAAAAACCCUUUACAACAGGGAUGUGGAAAUAAAAUAUGCAUUUAUCUACCUGAGCGUGAAAAGCCGAUCAACAAUUAAUCAUUUGCACUACUGGAAACUAAUAUUUUGUUUGAUUAAUUUAAAUGUGUGUUUUGACAUGGAUGGGUGCUGAGCAGGAUGUGGUCUUGGUGUGUGUGUCUUAAUGUGGAGGAAAGGUGAGUCAAGUUUGUGUAACUGUCUCUCAAACCAGUGUAUAAACUGUUUGUCCUGUCUUAAUGGUGGAGAUGAGUCAAUGUAUACUGUGUGCGCGUGCGCGCGCACUCCAGAUGUAAAAUUGCAAUAAAGCUUGAAUUAUGAAAUA